UUGUGUGUGAGGAGAAAACUCAAAAAGCGUCUGGGGUGGAAACACGGCAACACUCCCGGACGCUUUUUGAU
rfam:Anabaena sp. CRKS33 992, whole genome shotgun sequence.